UACGUAGGGUGCAAGCGUUAAUCGGAAUUACUGGGCGUAAAGCGUGCGCAGGCGGUUUUGUAAGUCUGACGUGAAAUCCCCCGGGCUUAACCUGGGAAUUGCGUUGGAGACUGCAAGGCUAGAAUCUGGCAGAGGGGGGUGGAAUUCCACGUGUAGCAGUGAAAUGCGUAGAGAUGUGGAGGAACACCCGAUGGGCGAAGGCAGCCCCCUGGGUCAAGAUUGACGCUCAUGCACGAAAGCGUGGGGAGCAAACAGG
rnacentral:rRNA from 1 species